GAUGAACGCUGGCGGUAUGCUUAACACAUGCAAGUCGAACGGACUCUUCGGAGUUAGUGGCGGACGGGUGAGUAACGCGUGAGAAUCUGGCUUUGGGUUCGGGACAACCACUGGAAACGGUGGCUAAUACCGGAUGUGCCGAGAGGUAAAAGAGAAAUUGCCUGCAGAUGAGCUCGCGUCUGAUUAGCUAGUUGGUGAGGUAAAGGCUCACCAAGGCAGCGAUCAGUAGCUGGUCUGAGAGGAUGACCAGCCACACUGGGACUGAGACACGGCCCAGACUCCUACGGGAGGCAGCAGUGGGGAAUUUUCCGCAAUGGGCGAAAGCCUGACGGAGCAAUACCGCGUGAGGGAAGAAGGCUCUUGGGGUGUAAACCUCUUUUCUCAGGGAAGAACAAAAUGACGGUACCUAAGGAAUCAGCAUCGGCUAACUCCGUG
rnacentral:rRNA from 1 species